GGAGGAUGUCAUCGCUAGAGUGAGCAAGCAGAUCUCGCGGGAGCAAAUGUCGCGAGACCUCUCCAGGUCUGCAACCGCCAAAGAAAGGUUACUUUUCCCGGAAGUAACGUCAGUCGAAACGGCCCGGGAUCCUGGGAAUAUUCGUUCCCUCAGGCAGGAGAUUGGGGGGCUGCUUGUGAUUAGUUUGUUAGGGGCUACCAAACACUGCUGAGUUCACCUGAGGGAAAGUAUAGGCUCGGGUGUGAUACUUUAUCCUGUUUUUGGCCCCUUUGGGUGGGGUUGUAUACUGUGGGGAAGUGCAUGCUCCGUGGAACCUCUCGUAACAGUAGUUUGGGGCUCCACUUUAGGCUCAGCGACCAAGACUGCGAUGCUGUGGCAUAUUUGUGCAAGGCGCCAAGGUGAAGGCUUUAGGAUUCAAGUACUUGGGAACACACAGACCUGUCAUCAGAAAUGCCUCCCUAUUCUAACACCCAGUGAGCCUCUGAAAAGGGAAUAAUUUGACUUGUCUGUGCCAACUCCAUAGUUUGCGACCCCUACUACCUACAUUUACUAAAGUUAAUGCAAUUCAAUUACCAGCAUCUGUGAUGAGAAGUACCUAGUGUAGAGCCUAACUGCAGAUAAGGAUUAGAAGAACUUACUGAAAGUUAACUAUUCUAUUUCUGUUCCCUCAUGUCUCAUGUUUUAAUUCAUUUCAGCCUGGCCCUUAGCACGUAAGCAGAACAGCAUUUGCUUAAGGUCACUAAGUAGCCUUCUUGUGCCAAAUUCGCUGGACUUUGAGAAGUUAAUUUUGCUUAAAGGCAAAAGUAUAAUAUACACCCUUUGUGAAAGAAAGAAGGGGACAUAAAACACACAAAUACCUGCUCAUUUGUCAGGGGAGGGAUAAACCAGAAGUUAAGGUGAAUGAUGUCCUAUGUGAGAAGGGUGGCAAGAAGGGGAGGAUUGGAACAAGGUAGCAGGAUCGACAAAGGAGUGGCAGAUAUUUUUAUAUAGGACUGUCUCUUAGAACCAUAUGUUUCACAUACCCAAAAACAUAAACACCUAAAACCAACUACGAUAAUAUUUGAGUAACAACCAGCUGAUUGGAGCAUAAAUCAAAAAGAAAAGAAUAAAGGGGGAAAAGUCAGUGAGCUGCGGAGGGACCAAGUUGUAUGGUCCUUUAAAGUUCAGACGUAUAGAUUGUCUGUUGUAUUUGUUUUCUGUUGCUGUGCUAACAAAUUACCACAAAUAUAGUGGCUUAACACAGACUUACUAUCCUACAAUUCUGUAAGUCAGAAGUCUGACUCAGGUCUCAAACUGGGCUAAAAUCAAGGUGUUGGCAGGGCUGCCUUACUUUCUGGGGGCUCAAGGGAAGAAUUUGUUUCCUUUUCCAGCUUCCAGAGGCUACUUGCAUUCCUCGGCUCCUGGCUCCCUUCUUCCAUCUAAAAGCCAGCAAUGAUGAGUAACACAGCGACUCUACAAGGGGUGGGGAGGAAAAGAACUCACCUAAGUACUGACGGAAACAGUAUCUUGACUGGAUACCUAAGAAUAAACCAACUGAACUGUACAUAAAUUCUGUGAUCCACAUCGUACACAGCAAAGGGACUCAGCCAUACAUUAUAUGUAUCCAUUCUCCCCCAGACUCCCCUCCCAUCCAGGCUGCCACGUAACAUUGAACAGAGUUUCCUCUGCUAUAUGGUUUUUUUCCUACUGCCUGGUGCUAGUUCCUCUGAAGUAGGCAGGGGAGCCCUGUGAGCCCUUUGUAAGACCAGAACCCCCAAUAUCUGGAAGACCUGUGAGCUGCUGGCCAGAACAAGAAACACCCACUGCCCCCCCUGCACCGCAACUUGUGAGGUGAACCUUGGGUGAUUAUCGACCGAGGUUCCACGAGCUCUCCUCCUGGUAUCAGCACAGAAUACCAGCUGCCCCAGUGGUCUGACUGGCUGGUGAAAGUUUGAAGAGUAAGAAGAUAUUUACACAGUCUCAAAAUAUCUCCCUACAAAAUACUUAUUAACUAUAAAAAGUAAAAAAGUAAUGUCAUAGUGGAGAAGCCUGGCAAACAUCACCUUAACCAACCGAUCAAAGCUAACAAAGUUAGUAUCACUGGUAACAAUGUUAAUUGACAGCAUGUGCCUUCUGCUGUGAUGCACUUCUGUGGAACUGUGGCUAAAUUAGUGUAACCCAAAUGUAAUCACGAGAGAAUAUCAGAGAAACUCAGAUAGAGAAACAUUAACUCACAAAAUAACUGGAUUCCCAGAAAGGUGGAAUAGAUAAAUUUCCCUAUUCCUUGUACUAAUUACAACUAAAACCCCUAAACACUAUAUAGAAAACAAACAUAAGAUUCUAAAACGUGGAAAGAACCUCAGGACCCAAGGAAUGACAUGUUGGCAAGUUCCCUGGAUUUUCUUUUUGUCUCAUGGAUCAGACAUGGAUCUGAAGAAGCUGGCAACCAUGAAACCAAUGGGUGCAGAUAAGAAAGACCCAAGAAAAGCCUGCUUCAUAGCUAAAGGACCGGGAAAGGGGCCACCUAGCAAGACUGAAAAUUUUUAAGCAGUAACCAUUUAACUCCAGCCAAAUACCACAGAAGAAAACUGUGGCCCGGCCUAUAUUCUUGCCAGCAAAGCCUGCGGGGAGUCUAGACUUCCACCCUUGCAGCCUGUAACAAGGUGCCUCAACAACCCUGUAGGGUGACAUCAGAGAAAGCCAAGUAGGGAGCCAGGACUUUCAUCCCCAUCUGGGAAUAACAAGGAUCACUACCCCAAGGCAUCAGUGGAGACGGUGAGAAGAUCUGGAACUCCAACCCCCCAAUGAGCAGUAAUGAUGAGCCCCUUCAUUUAAUAUCAAUGGAAACCAAGUGAGGAACCUGGAUUUCUACCUCCACCUGGCGGUAACAAGAUGGCACCCCCUAUGUUCCCUUCCUGGAGUGGUGUCAGAGAAGACCAACUAAAAUAGAUUUAGGGCUUCCCUGGUGGCACAGUGGUUAAGAAUCCGCCUGCCAGUGCAGGGAACACGGGUUCGAGCCCUGGUCCAGGAAGA